AGAGCCUCCGUGACCUCAUCCUAAUGAAGACUCCUCAGCUCCCAGCUUCCGUGUUAACACCAUCACACCUGGGAAUGACACAGAAUGGCCCGAAAGACAGUCAGAGUUGGCCAGUUUUUGUAUUUUUUUAUUCCUGAAAAGUUAAUGGUCAGGAGGAGCCUCUCUGAGUGUCUGUCCAGACCCCUGGUUACCAUGACAACCAGAAGGAUCACCUGCGUACCUGUUCCACCUGUUUGUCUCAUACUGUAGGUGAUCCACUGUUGGAAAAUGACAGUGAGAGCUCAAAUUAGAACUGUUGCAUUUCAGUGGAUGCAACAAGAAUAGAAAUGAUGCUUGAUGUCAGUUUAGCAACUGUAUACAAAAGGCCUGCUCUGUAAACCUCCCACCGUUCUUCUUCAAAUAGAAAAUAAACCAAAAUAAAUAAAAGUA